UCUUUUUGAGCUAGAUCUUUAUCGGAGAGUUUGAUCCUGGCUCAGGAUGAACGCUGGC
rnacentral:rRNA from 1 species